UCUAAACCCAUCUCCACCACUUCUCUUCUGUGUGAACUUGGCAUCGAACACCUACACUUUCUGAAGGCCUGACUUCUCUCUUGUUCAAGACAUUAACCAAGUGACCUUUUGAUGUUGCAGUCCUGAGGAGCAGUGACUGAGAUGAGGUAACUGAGGC